GGUCUCCUGCUUGGGCUUCAUUUGAUCCUGCUUCUCUUCCUGAGGACUGCCUCCCUGUUCACCAUGGCCACCCUAUGUUAUCUGGGCUGACUACAGUCUUCUCCAAAGCUGAGCUUGGAGCUUUGAGCUGAUGAGCCUUUUCCUAGCUCAGAGGAGGGCAAUAGCAAACCACCUGAUAUCUGAAGACAUGAGGAUCCAGUGGAAAAGAAAAAAGCAGACCACAAAUAGACGAGCUCACACAGCCCCAGUACCCAAGGGCCCUUUUCAGGAUUCUCCUCCCAUACAAGCACAAUGCAGUGAUUAAGAAAUGGCAUCAACACUGAAGCAUCUUCUUCCCUGCUCACAGUACCUUUAUAGCUUACCCACUCCUUCUCCCCAGCCUCAAUAGCCAGAGGGAACUACUGCCAACUGGGUAGUGUGUAAAAGGCAUCCUCCACGUGAUGCCAGACUCCCACCCCAAGAGAUCCUCAGUUUACAACUCAAUGUCUGAGGAAAACUCUCAGAAUUGUCAGAAUAAAUAAAAAAUGAGCUGACUAAUUUCAAA